GCACUAGUAGCUCAGCGCAAGAGCGCCGGUCUUGUAAGCCGGAUGCCGGAGGUUAAAGUCCCCCCUACUGCUC
rnacentral:tRNA from 1 species